rnacentral:rRNA from 1 species
UACGUAGGUGGCAAGCGUUGUCCGGAUUUACUGGGCGUAAAGAGCGCGCAGGCGGUCGUUCAAGUCGCGUGUGAAAGCCCCCGGCUCAACUGGGGAGGGUCACGCGAUACUGAUCGACUCGAAGGCAGGAGAGGGUAGUGGAAUUCCCGGUGUAGUGGUGAAAUGCGCAGAUAUCAGGAGGAACACCGAUGGCGAAGGCAGAUCUCUGGGCCGUAACUGACGCUGAGGAGCGAAAGCAUGGGGAGCGAACAGG